AGCCCGCUCAGAAACUACAAAUGAAUUGACGGGGGCCCGCACAAGCGGAGGAGCAUGUGGUUUAAUUCGAUGAUACGCGAGGAACCUUACCUGGGCUCGAACGUAAGAUGACUGUAGGUGAAAGCUUACAUCUCUUCGGAGCAUUUUACGAGGUGCUGCAUGGUUGUCGUCAGCUCGUGCCGUGAGGUGUCGGGUUAAGUCCCAUAACGAGCGCAACCCUACCUUUAGUUGCCAUCAGGUAAUGCUGGGGACUCUAAAGGAACUGCCUACGCAAGUAGUGAGGAAGGCGGGGAUGACGUCAAAUCAGCACGGCCCUUACGUCCAGGGCUACACACGUGCUACAAUGGCCGAUACAGAGGGCAGCUACCUGGUGACAGGAUGCAAAUCUCCAAAGUCGGUCUCAGUUCGGAUCGGAGUCUGCAACCCGACUCCGUGAAGUUGGAUUCGCUAGUAAUCGCGCAUCAGCCAUGGCGCGGUGAAUACGUUCCCGGGCCUU
rnacentral:rRNA from 1 species